rnacentral:rRNA from 1 species
UACGAAGGGGGCUAGCGUUGUUCGGAAUUACUGGGCGUAAAGCGCACGUAGGCGGACCUGUUAGUCAGAGGUGAAAUCCCGAAGCUUAACUUCGGAACUGCCUUUGAUACUGCAGGUCUUGAGGUCGAGAGAGGUGAGUGGAACUGCGAGUGUAGAGGUGAAAUUCGUAGAUAUUCGCAAGAACACCAGUGGCGAAGGCGGCUCACUGGCUCGAUUCUGACGCUGAGGUGCGAAAGCGUGGGGAGCAAAC